rnacentral:rRNA from 1 species
GAUGAACGCUGGCGGCGUGCCUAAUACAUGCAAGUCGAGCGAACAGACGAGGAGCUUGCUCCUCUGACGUUAGCGGCGGACGGGUGAGUAACACGUGGAUAACCUACCUAUAAGACUGGGAUAACUUCGGGAAACUGGAGCUAAUACCGGAUAAUAUAUUGAACCGCAUGGUUCAAUAGUGAAAGACGGUUUUGCUGUCACUUAUAGAUGGAUCCGCGCCGCAUUAGCUAGUUGGUAAGGUAACGGCUUACCAAGGCGACGAUGCGUAGCCGACCUGAGAGGGUGAUCGGCCACACUGGAACUGAGACACGGUCCAGACUCCUACGGGAGGCAGCAGUAGGGAAUCUUCCGCAAUGGGCGAAAGCCUGACGGAGCAACGCCGCGUGAGUGAUGAAGGUCUUCGGAUCGUAAAACUCUGUUAUUAGGGAAGAACAAAUGUGUAAGUAACUAUGCACGUCUUGACGGUACCGAAUCAGAAAGCCACGGCUAACUACGUG